rnacentral:rRNA from 1 species
GACGAACGCUGGCGGCGUGCCUAAUACAUGCAAGUAGAACGCUGAAGGAGGAGCUUGCUUCUCUGGAUGAGUUGCGAACGGGUGAGUAACGCGUAGGUAACCUGCCUGGUAGCGGGGGAUAACUAUUGGAAACGAUAGCUAAUACCGCAUAAUAGUAGAUGUUGCAUGACAUUUGCUUAAAAGGUGCAAUUGCAUCACUACCAGAUGGACCUGCGUUGUAUUAGCUAGUUGGUGAGGUAACGGCUCACCAAGGCGACGAUACAUAGCCGACCUGAGAGGGUGAUCGGCCACACUGGGACUGAGACACGGCCCAGACUCCUAUGGGAGGCAGCAGUAGGGAAUCUUCGGCAAUGGACGGAAGUCUGACCGAGCAACGCCGCGUGAGUGAAGAAGGUUUUCGGAUCGUAAAGCUCUGUUGUAAGAGAAGAACGAGUGUGAGAGUGGAAAGUUCACACUGUGACGGUAUCUUACCAGAAAGGGACGGCUAACUACGUG